AGUAUGACGGCUAUUUUUAUUCACCGGGUUCUUUGUUCUAUUUUAAAAAGUGAAUUGUCAUUUUUUGAACUGUGAUAAGAAACCAAUUAGAAAAAAAAAUAACUUAUUUUUUUCGAUAUAAUGAUGACACUCUAAUCAACACUCAUUACGUUAUCUCCAAUCGAAUGGAUUCUUUAUUCCUGCUAUCAGUUGUAUAAAAUUCAGUGAUAAAAAUAAGCUCUUAGUGACAACAGUACAAACAUUUUAAGCAGUGUUACAUUUUAAACCACGAUGAUGUGGAAAAUUUUCUUUGUACUCGCAUUAAUUGCGAAGGUUGAAAACUUUUUAAUUAAUCCAAAUACUGAACAUUCGACAGAAGCUUUAAAUUUUAGUGAGUAAUAUUUAAAUUAAUUUUACGUAAAAUAUAGAAGAGUUGCUUCUAUAUUUUUUGGCGAUUUAAUAAAGUCAGCUGAACAAACAGCUCAAUUCCUUGAGAAGAUGAUAAAUUCAGAUAAAUCUGAAAAUGAUUCUCCAGGAAAGUCAAAUCGCUUUAAAGAUUUUGAUAAAUUGAAAAAUGUUAAUGAUUCUAAUUUAAUUGUAGCACUGAUUUCUAAAGAGACAAUUGAGGUGUAUAAGCCAGUGGAGAAUAAACAAAAAAAAUGUAAUAACAGAUUUAAUAUGUGCUCAGUUUCGUCAAUCAAUGGAAAGCCUAACAAAUGCUGCCAAAAUUACACGUGCGUACCAAUGGGAUCAGGCGGUGGAUUUUGUUUGUAAGCUCAAGAAAUCGUUUACUUAAAAAUUCAGAAUCAGAAUCUUGUAAUCAAUAAAUU